rnacentral:rRNA from 1 species
UUAAGCUACUAAGAGCACACGGAGGAUGCCUAGGCGCUAGGAGCCGACGAAGGACGUGGCGAACAACGAAACUGCCUCGGGGAGCUGUAAGCAAGCUUUGAUCCGGGGGUGUCCGAAUGGGGAAACCCGGCUGGUGUAAUAGCCAGUCACUCACAUCUGAAUACAUAGGGUGUGAAGAGGCAUACCAGGGGAACUGAAACAUCUAAGUACCCUGAGGAAGAGAAAACAAAAGUGAUUCCGUCAGUAGCGGCGAGCGAACGCGGAUUAGCCUAAACCAGAGAGCUUGCUCUCUGGGGUUGUGGGACGUCUCACAUGGAGUUACAAAGGAAGAGGUUAGACGAACAGGUCUGGAAAGGCCGGCCAUAGAAGGUAAAAGCCCUGUAAUCGAAAGUCUGUUCCCUCCGAGACGGAUCCCGAGUAGUGCGGGGCACGUGAAACCCCGUAUGAAUCUGCCAGGACCAUCUGGUAAGGCUAAAUACUCCCUAGCGACCGAUAGUGAAGCAGUACCGUGAGGGAAAGGUGAAAAGCACCCCGGGAGGGGAGUGAAAAAGAACCUGAAACCGUGUGCUUACAAGAAGUCAGAGCCCUAUUUAUGGGUGAUGGCGUGCCUUUUGUAGAAUGAACCGGCGAGUUACGUUCCCGUGCAAGGUUAAGGUGAAGAGCCGAAGCCGCAGCGAAAGCGAGUCUGAAUAGGGCGACUUAGUACGUGGACGUAGACCCGAAACCGGGUGAUCUACCCCUGUCCAGGGUGAAGGUGCGGUAACACGCACUGGAGGCCCGAACCCACGUAUGUUGAAAAAUGCGGGGAUGAGGUGGGGGUAGCGGAGAAAUUCCAAUCGAACUCGGAGAUAGCUGGUUCUCCCCGAAAUAGCUUUAGGGCUAGCCUCGGUGAAUAGAGUCGUGGAGGUAGAGCACUGAUUGGGUGCGGGGCCCGCCAAGGGUUACCAAGCUCAGUCAAACUCCGAAUGCCAUGGACUUAUAAGCGGGAGUCAGACAGUGAGUGCUAAGAUCCAUUGUCAAGAGGGAAACAGCCCAGACCAUCAGCUAAGGUCCCCAAGUGUGUGUUAAGUGGGAAAGGAUGUGGAGUUGCACAGACAACCAGGAUGUUGGCUUAGAAGCAGCCACCAUUUAAAGAGUGCGUAAUAGCUCACUGGUCGAGUGACUCUGCGCCGAAAAUGUAACGGGGCUAAACACACCACCGAAGCUAUGGCUUGAAUCAUCUUCACUGCUUCUUUGAGGCGGUGACUAACGCGGAACAUUUUUGCCGAAAGNAGAAGAGACAGGUAUACAAGUGAGAAUGCCGGUAUGAGUAACGAAAAGAUCAGUGAGAAUCUGAUCCGCCGAAAGCCCAAGGUUUCCUGAGGAAGGUUCGUCCGCUCAGGGUAAGUCGGGACCUAAGGCGAGGCCGAAAGGCGUAGUCGAAGGACAACAGGUUGAAAUUCCUGUACCACCGUAAUCCGCUAUGAGCGAUGGGGUGACGCAGUAGGGUAGUGACGCGAGCUGAUGGAUGCUCGUCCAAGCAGUGAGGCUGAUGUGUAGGCAAAUCCGCACAUCGUUAAGGCUGGGCUGUGAUGGGGAGGGAAAAUUUACAGUACCGAAGGUCAUGAUCUCACACUGCCAAGAAAAGCCUCUAGCCAGGAGAAGGUGCCCGUACCGCAAACCGACACAGGUAGGCGAGAAGAGAAUUCUAAGGCGCGCGGAAGAACUCUCGUUAAGGAACUCGGCAAAAUGACCCCGUAACUUUGGGAGAAGGGGUGCCCCGGUAGUGUGAAUAGCACGAGGGGGCCGCAGUGAAAAGGCCCAAGCGACUGUUUAGCAAAAACACAGGUCUGUGCGAAGCCGUAAGGCGAAGUAUACGGGCUGACGCCUGCCCGGUGCUGGAAGGUUAAGGGGAGCGGUUAGGGGUAACCCGAAGCUGUGAACCGAAGCCCCAGUAAACGGCGGCCGUAACUAUAACGGUCCUAAGGUAGCGAAAUUCCUUGUCAGGUAAAUUCUGACCCGCACGAAUGGCGUAACGACUUGGGCGCUGUCUCAACGAGAGAUCCGGUGAAAUUUUAAUACCUGUGAAGAUGCAGGUUACCCGCGACAAGACGGAAAGACCCCAUGGAGCUUUACUACAGCUUGAUAUUGAACUUUGAUGCGAUUUGUACAGGAUAGGUGGGAGCCUAGGAAUCCGGAGCGCCAGCUUCGGUGGAGGCGCCGUUGGGAUACCACCCUGAUCGUAUCGAAGUUCUAACCUGGGACCGUGAUCCGGUUCGGGGACAGUGUCAGGCGGGUAGUUUGACUGGGGCGGUCGCCUCCUAAAGAGUAACGGAGGCGCCCCAAGGUUCCCUCAGAAUGGUUGGAAAUCAUUCGCAGAGUGCAAAGGCAAAAGGGAGCUUGACUGCGAGACUGACAAGUCGAGCAGGGACGAAAGUCGGGCUUAGUGAUCCGGUGGUACCGCAUGGAAGGGCCAUCGCUCAACGGAUAAAAGCUACCCUGGGGAUAACAGGCUUAUCUCCCCCAAGAGUCCACAUCGACGGGGAGGUUUGGCACCUCGAUGUCGGCUCAUCGCAUCCUGGGGCUGAAGUAGGUCCCAAGGGUUGGGCUGUUCGCCCAUUAAAGCGGUACGCGAGCUGGGUUCAGAACGUCGUGAGACAGUUCGGUCCCUAUCUGUCGUGGGCGUAGGAAAUUUGAGAGGAGCUGUCCUUAGUACGAGAGGACCGGGAUGGACGCACCGCUGGUGUACCAGUUGUUCCGCCAGGAGCAUAGCUGGGUAGCUACGUGCGGAUGGGAUAAACGCUGAAAGCAUCUAAGCGUGAAGCCCUCCUCAAGAUGAGAUUUCCCAAUUAGUAAGACCCCUUGAAGACGACGAGGUUGAUAGGCCUGAGGUGGAAGUGCAGCAAUGUAUGGAGCUGACAGGUACUAAUCGGUCGAGGGCUUAUCCAA